AUUGAACGCUGGCGGCAGGCCUAACACAUGCAAGUCGAGCGAGCGGCGGACGGGUGAGUAAUGUGUGGGGAACUGCGUGAUGGAGGGGGAGAACUCCUGGAGACGGUAGCUAAUACCGCAUACCAUCUGAGGUGCCCACAUGGGAUUAGCUGGUUGGUGGGGUAACGGCUCACCUAGGCGACGAUCCCUAGCUGGUCUGAGAGGAUGACCAGCCACACUGGAACUGAGACACGGUCCAGACUCCUACGGGAGGCAGCAGUGGGGAAUAUUGCACAAUGGGCGCAAGCCUGAUGCAGCCAUGCCGCGUGUGUGAAGAAGGCCUUCGGGUUGUAAAGCACUUUCAGCGGGGAGGCGUUACCCGCAGAAGAAGCACCGGCUAACUCCGUGCCAGCAGCCGCGGUAAUAC
rnacentral:rRNA from 1 species